ACCCAGGCACUGCAUCCUGCGCUUGGCAGCUGGGCUGGGGACUCGGAGCCGCCGCGGCCGCAGUGCACGUAGAGCCCAGAUGCACCAGCCAGUUCGCCGAGGAGGGGCGGAGAGCGCUGCGCUGCCCAGCGGCAGCCUCUGCGCGCCUUGCGCUGGGCCCUGGGGGCCUUCCCGCGCCGCCGCGGGUCGGUGUCCGCCCUUUCUCUGCUUUGGUUUUCAGCUUAGCUCUUUCCGCGGUUAGUCCGCUUUCUGCCCUGCACCAAGAAGAACCCCAGGACACCUGGCUGCCUGCUUGAUCAACCACCUGCGCGGCAGCGGCUCCCGGGAGGUGGCCAAGGCCCGGGCAGAGCCCGCCACGCCUGGACCCAGGGCGGGCCCUCCUGCGGCCUGGUGUAGGUGUUCUGCCACCGCAGUGAGCCGGAAGUAAAGUUUCACAAAAUUGUCCUGCGGGGUGGGGAACUUCCAGUGGUGAAUGACAGGUGAGGGAAACUGAGGCGUUGGAACUUGCUGGAGGAGACGCAGCUAGGAAGUUGUAGAGAGGCAAGAGUUGAAGCCAGCACUUCCAAGAGGCAUGCUCUCAAGGUGGCUCCUCGAUGUUUGUGCAAGAUGGUGUAUCCCGAGGCUGCAGACUCUCUCCCCGCUGUCUACCCUGGAAAACCGCGGGUUCCAGGCCUUGAUAGAGAGGAAGAGACCUAGACCUCAAGGCCACCAGGGCUUCUGAAGACCAAGCAGUGACAUGAAAGGCAACCUUCUCAGGCGCUUGUUUUUACUGUACGAUUUAAUAAACCUUAUAACUGGC